AGUAAAUCCCAGCGAUCUUCGUUUUUGCUUUUCGCGGCGCCGAGUAAUUAUCGUUUGAAGAGCUCGCGGUAUCAAUGAAAUUCACAAAUAGCCGCAGUCUCUUCCGUUCGACAUACGCGAAUUAAAUGUACACGACACACACUACUGACACGCGCGUGCGCGCGCGUACACGACCAAACGUACAGCGAACAGUCGAUGAUCUCUUCGUGGAGCACCUUCGGAAUGCUGUACACUGAAGAAUCACUUGAUGACCAGAUACCCGCGCACAAUUUCAGAUGAAGAACGAGCGAGGGAGAGAAGACGUACAAAGAAAGGCGAAAGAGGAGUAGUGAGGCCUGCUCUCGUACAAUUUUUCGUUUCUCGGUGCUUUUUUCCUUCUAUUUUUCCUCACCCCCUCUUCUAUCUCUCUCUCUCUCUCUCUCUUUAACUACCCGACGGUUCACUCUGUACCCUUUAAACUUUUUUGCCACUACUCGAUCUUUGCUCUCGUAACUCCAAAAUUUCUGUAUUCACUCUCGAAAUAUUUUCACAAACUUUUUUUUGCCUCGACUCUCCCUUGAUAAAACAAUAAUUGGUUCCCUUUUGUCGCUGUUCUUUAACCGAAUCUACUGUUUUAGAAAAUUUCGUAUUUGAUUUUCUUUUUUUAAUCAACGUUAUUUAAAUAAUUUCAUGCUGCUCUUGGCUAUAUAAAUUUGUUACGGUUACUCGUUCAUUCCAGGAGUAAAGAAUUGGGUGUAUGUUGUUUUGUAGGUAGAGUCUAAGCUACUACUGGCCGGCGAGUUUCGCCCAUCUUGGUCUGAAACUGAGCAGAAUUGCCGCAAGAGGCGCCGAGGGACGGGAACAUACAGAUUAGUCUCAUAUUCAAGAGAGAGAGAGAGAGAGAGAGUCCACGUCAUUCCAUCUCGAGCGAGUGCAAGCGAGAGGGAUUACAUUGCCGGAGAGGGGAGAUAUUGCAGCCGCGCCCGUCUGCGCCGUCGUCCGCCGUUCGGGCAACCCGACAUUAUCGUUUGUACGAGUGAGAUAACGAGCGAUUGAGAGACGUUUAUUCGAUGGCGCCAGCGUCGCUCGACAUGAAACAGUGGCGCUGCGAGCGUGCCUCUAUUUUUUCUCCACGUUGGUCAAACUGUCCGUGUUGGACCACCCGCCCCUGCCCGUGCGCCGCCGUACAACCACCGCGGUUCCCUCGAGAGAAUGAGAACCUCGGAGAAACGAGAUCUCUUUACAAUCGAGAAAGAGAGACAAUUUCGAAAAGCAUGAAAAAUCACGUGAAUUGCUUUGUUCUAGGGUGGGAGGUUACAUUUAAAAAAAAAAAGAAAAAGGAUGAAUCGCUUGUGGGAGCUUUUGGAAGCUGCAAUAAAUUGAUUGAUUACACCGCCACACAAAGAACGUGGUCACGCAGUUUCUUGGACCGGACCCAUCUAUCUACGUAUUUUGGCCCGCUGAAUCCGAAUCCGCAAUCAGAUUGGUCAAUAUACCUCGAAAAUUUUUAGUUAAUUCCAAAAAACCGUAAAAAUGUCGGAAAAUCGCUAUUAAAAGCAUGAUAAAAGUUGUCUUCGACCUUAUAAUCGGGAGGGUUUUUUAUGGAAUUUGAUGCCCUGAAUCUGCGGUCAGAUUGGCUAGUAGCACCCUCAAAAUUUUUAGUAAACUCCAAAAAACCGUAAAAAUGAGUGAAAAUCGAUACUAUAGGUAUGGGAAAAAUUUUAUUAUAUAAUCUAGGUCGAGUACCCUAUUUCUGAAUUUCAAUGCGCUGAUUCAAAAUCCGGGUCUAUUUAACUCGUACGUCUCCAAAAUUUUGAUUCUAUAGAAAAAACCGGCCAAAAGUGGAUAAAAAUUUCUAAAAAUCGUAGUUAUGAAUAUGAGAACUAUUUUUGACACUUGGAUCGAGUACGUUCGUUACACUGAGAAAAAAAAUUAUUAGAACCAAUAAAAUGUAGUUUUGAAGCAAAAAAAUCAUUCAUUUCAUUAUUUGCCAAAACAUAUUAAAUUGGUUCCCUUAUAUAUUUACUUGGAUAAUUUAUUUUACCCAAUUUCAUAAAUUUCUUUUUCGAUAAAAGUAGUUGCUUUAAUCUAACAAUUUGUUAUCAAUUAUAUGUAAUAUGUAGUUUCAAUCAAUAAUACAUUUUAUGAUUCAAAACAUGCAUGUCUUUAAAUACAGGAUACACUCAAUCUUUUAAUUAUAUUAUAUUUGGUUAUAUAUUUGAAAAUGAAUAUAAUACAUGAUC